rnacentral:rRNA from 1 species
UGGGGAAUCUUCCGCAAUGGACGAAAGUCUGACGGAGCAACGCCGCGUGAACGAAGAAGGCUUUCGAGUCGUAAAGUUCUUUUAUAUGGGAAGAUAAUGACGGUACCAUAAGAAAAAGCCCCGGCUAACUACGUGCCAGCAGCCGCGGUAAUACGUAGGGGGCUAGCGUUGUCCGGAAUCACUGGGCGUAAAGGGUUCGCAGGCGGAAAUGCAAGUCAGGUGUAAAAGGCAGUAGCUUAACUACUGUAAGCAUUUGAAACUGCAUAUCUUGAGAAGAGUAGAGGGAAGUGGAAUUUUUAGUGUAGCGGUGAAAUGCGUAGAUAUUAAAAAGAAUACCGGUGGCGAAGGCGACUUACUGGGCUCAUUCUGACGCUGAGGAACGAAAGCGUGGGUAGCAAACAGG